rnacentral:rRNA from 1 species
CGGGGGGAGCAAGCGUUGUUCGGAUUUACUGGGCGUAAAGGGCGCAUAGGCGGCGCAACAAGUCACUUGUGAAAUCUCCGGGCUUAACCCGGAGCGGUCAAGUGAUACUGUCGUGCUAGAGUGCGGAAGGGGCAACUGGAAUUCUCGGUGUAGCGGUGAAAUGCGUAGAUAUCGAGAGGAACACCUGCGGCGAAGGCGGGUUGCUGGGCCGACACUGACGCUGAUGCGCGAAAGCCAGGGGAGCGAACGGGAUUAGAUACCCCGGUAGUCCUGGCCUUAAACGAUGGAUGCUUGGUGUCCGGGGUUAGAUAGUCCCCGGGUGCCGUCGCUAACGCUUUAAGCAUCCCGCCUGGGGAGUACGCACGCAAGUGUG